AGAGCGAACGCUGGCGGCAGGCCUAAAACAUGCAAGUCGAACGAACCCUUCGGGGUUAGUGGCGGACGGGUGAGUAACACGUGGGAACGUGCCCUUUGGUUCGGAACAACUCAGGGAAACUUGAGCUAAUACCGGAUGUGCCCUUCGGGGGAAAGAUUUAUCGCCAUUGGAGCGGCCCGCGUCUGAUUAGCUAGUUGGUGAGGUAAAGGCUCACCAAGGCUACGAUCAGUAGCUGGUCUGAGAGGAUGAUCAGCCACACUGGGACUGAGACACGGCCCAGACUCCUACGGGAGGCAGCAGUUAGGAAUCUUGCGCAAUGGGCGAAAGCCUGACGCAGCCAUGCCGCGUGAAUGAUGAAGGUCUUAGGAUUGUAAAAUUCUUUCAGCGGGGACGAUAAUGACGGUACCCGCAGAAGAAGCUCCGGCUAACUUCGCGCCAGCAGCCGC
rnacentral:rRNA from 1 species